rnacentral:rRNA from 1 species
GGGCGUAAAGGGAGCGUAGGCGGAUAGUUUAGUCAGAGGUGAAAGCCCAGGUCUCAACCUGGGAACUGCAUUUGAAACUGGCGGACUAGAGUUCAGUAGAGGGGAGUGGAAUUUCAGGUGUAGCGGUGAAAUGCGUAGAUAUCUGAAGGAACACCAGUGGCGAAGGCGACUCCCUGGACUAGAACUGACGCUGAGGUACGAGAGCGUGGGUAGCAAACAGGGUUAGAUACCCUGGUAGUCCACGCCGUAAACGAUGUCGACUAGCCGUUGGUCCUAUUUACAGGAUUAGUGGCGCAGCUAACGCAUUAGGUCGACCGCCUGGGGAGUACGGCCGCAAGGUUAAAACUCAAAUGAAUUGACGGGGGCCCGCACAAGCGGUGGAGCAUGUGGUUUAAUUCGAUGUAACGCGAAGAACCUUACCUACCCUUGACAUCCAGAGAAUCUGUUAGAGGUAGUAGAGUGCCUUCGGGAGCUCUGAGACAGGUGCUGCAUGGCUGUCGUCAGCUCGUGUCGUGAGAUGUUGGGUUAAGUCCCGUAACGAGCGCAACCCUUAUCCUUAGUUGCCAGCGGGUAAUGCCGGGAACUCUAGGGAGACUGCCGGUGAUAAACCGGAGGAAGGUGGGGACGACGUCAGGUCAUCAUGGCCCUUAUGGGUAGGGCUACACACGUGCUACAAUGGCCGGUACAGAGGGCUGCGAACUUGCGAAAGUAAGCAAAUCCCAGAAAGCCGGUCCUAGUCCGGAUUGGAGUCUGCAACUCGACUCCAUGAAGUCGGAAUCGCU